rnacentral:lncRNA from 1 species
GGAAACUGGAUGUUCUCCUAAAACAGACCUUGGGAGAAAGCGCUUUCACCUCCUCACCACAGACACUCUCGACUGUGGACUCAGGACACUAAGCCAGAAAGGUGACGAUUUCCUUCUUGAACCCGGCCUGCAUCAGCAGCUCAGACCCAGGGCUCCGGGUCCUUUGCUCUAUGUCCAGUGCUCUUUUUGCUCCCUCACACACUUAGCGAUGGCAGUGUUCUUAGUAUACUCAAAGAGCUUUGUAAUGAAUUAGAGCAGCCAUUCCCAACCUUCCUAGUGCUGCGGUCCUUUAAUACAGUUUCUUAAGUUGUGGCGAACCAUCCCCCCCACCCCCAACCAUAACAUUAUUCUUGCUGCUGCUGUUAUGAAUCGUAAUGAAACAUUUGAUCUGCAGUACAUCUGAUAUGUGAUUCCCGAGAAAGGGCCAUCAUAUUCCAAGGGAUCGGGACCCACAGCGUGAGAAGCCCUGAACUAGAGAUCCGCCUAAACUGAGAAACAACCUAGCACCUAUCCCAGCCCAUCAAUGUUGUAUAUGGCAACAGAUUCAAAAGCCCAGACUAAAACAUACUCACCAUCCAUGUUACCAGCUCUCACCAUGGGGCAGCAAUGUGGAUUUAGUAAGCAUAGCCCACGGGCACUCAUUUUGAAGACACUAGGAGAACUUCAAAGCCAGGUUUGUUCUUCUGCCUCUGGUGACAUUUUUAAAAUUUCAGCACUGUUUUUUUUUUUAAUUGAUUCGUCGGUCCUUAUAUUUGCUUUAGGAACCUGACAAGACUGACUAGCCAUCUCUAGCAUUCAGAUGUGAGCGAGCAGUCUCCUUCCUGCUGCUGCAGCUGCAAGCUGCUCCUGCCGCCCAUGCCUUCUCUACUGCCAUGCCUUCCCUACCACAAGGGCCAGAACUCUCACACUGAAAGCCAGAAUAAAUCCUUCCUCUCUUCGGUUGGUUGUUGUCAGGUAAUUGGUCCCAACCAUGGUAAAGCUUAGUGGAAAAGAAAAAAAAGAGAAGGCAGCAGCUGGCAUCAAUGGUGUGGUGAGGAGAGAAUCAAGUUUCCUUCUCCAGUUCAAACAGACGAAAGUGAAGCGACAUAGGCUCAAGGACAGGGUCACUGGGCUAGCGCCACACCAUGGAGCCAAACCCCGAGCCUUCUAAAUUGUGAGCUGGGCAUGGUGGUUCACCCCAGGAAUCGCAGCACUGAGGGAUGAAGGCGAGAGAGUCACUGUGGGUGUGACAUCAGUCUGGCCUGAAGUCUGAGACUGUUUUUUUAAAAAGAAAACAUUUUUUUAUGUCAUAUAUUUAAUUAUAUAAAGAUUCUGUUGUUUUGUUGUUGUUGUUGUUAAAAUUCAGCCAGGAAAUUUCCAUCUGUCUGGUGUUAAUUGGUUGUUUUUCAGCACUAAUUGGGAAAUGAUAUAUUUUUAUUGUUUUAUAAAUAGAGUAAAACCCCUCAGAAACUGCUGGGGAAAUUUAAACAAGGAAAGCAAUUCUAUGUCCUUGCUUGACACCAGUUUGUCCCAGAGGUGACACAACUGUGUAGUUUUUGAAAACACUGGGCA